rnacentral:rRNA from 1 species
AGGCGAGCAGCAGGCGCGAAACCUUUACACUGCACGACAGUGCGAUAAGGGAAUCCCAAGUGCGCAGGCAUAGAGCCUGCGCUUUUGUACACCGUAGGGAGGUGUACGAAUAAGGGCUGGGCAAGACCGGUGCCAGCCGCCGCGGUAAUACCGGCAGCCCGAGUGAUGGCCGAUCUUAUUGGACCUAAAGCGUCCGUAGCUGGCCGCACAAGUCCACCGGAAAAUCCACCCGCUCAACGGGUGGGCGUCCGGUGGAAACUGUGUGGCUUGGGACCGGAAGGCGCGACGGGUACGUCCGGGGUAGGAGUGAAAUCCCGUAAUCCUGGACGGACCGCCGAUGGCGAAAGCACGUCGCGAGGACGGAUCCGACAGUGAGGGACGAAAGCCAGGGUCUCGAACCGGAUUAGAUACCCGGGUAGUCCUGGCCGUAAACAAUGUCUGUUAGGUGUGGCUCCCACUACGAGUGGGUGCUGUGCCGUAGGGAAGCCGCUAAACAGACCGCCUGGGAAGUACGUCCGCAAGGAUGAAACUUAAAGGAAUUGGCGGGGGAGCAC